CCCCUUAAAAUUUGUGCUUACUCACUAUAUUUUCCGAUAUCUCUUUUUUUGUUACAAAAAAUCCUUAUUGAUGGUUAUACUGAUGAAAAUGUGGUAAUUAUGGAUUAAACUCUAUUGUGCUUUUAUUGAUGUUUUUUUGGUGGAUGAAUGUUUCAUAUCUUGAUGAUUUCUUGUAAGUAAUUAGUAUCCUGUUAUAUGUUCUGGUGUGUUUGUUUAGAUACAAGGUAAUGGAAUGGUUGAAAUUGUAGUUGUCUGGUUUCAGCCACAUCAAUGACAGACUUCAUACUAAUUUUAAAUUUAGGGUCCAUUUUGAAAUUUCAUUGUUUCUUUCUUGGCAGUCUAUGUCCCAAAGUCUACACAAUUUGGUCCCAGGAUCCAUUUUGAAAUUUUAUUGUUUCUUUCUUGGCAGUGGAUGUCCAAAAGCUUAACAAUUAGUCAAGAUUUUAUCAAAUUUUUGUGAUUAUUUUGUCUGUUCUUCCUGGCUAAUGCCAGUUCAUUCAGAUAAAAAGGGUGGAUGUUAAUGUUAGGUUGAUAACCAGUCAAAAAGAGCAUAUCCUUUUUUCUUUUUUUCUUUUUUUCUUUUUUUUUGUGAAAGGUAACCAGUCUAGAAAAAGAGCAUAUCAAACCAUGAAAAAGGUUUCUGAUUUGAUAUUUGUGAAUGCUAGGACAUUUACAAUAUUAUAUCAGAAGUAAUCCUAAAUAGGAGUUCUUUUGUCACAAGGGGAUCCAUAAAGCCAACCAAGAAUAAGAAUAGUUAGGGAAUCUUAUGGUUAUUUAUCCUAGCUAAUGUCAGUUUCUCUACUUCAUCAGGUAUAUAAUCUCUUAUCUCUACGGCAAUUCUCUGUCACCCUUGAUUACAUCAAGUUUUGUUGAAAUUUGAUGGUUAGCAGCUAUAAUCUGUCUCAUAGAAAUUUUAUGCAUCAGUGUUUGGUCACGAUUGCAUGUAUUUAGAAAGCUGACUGUUUUGGAUAUAUUUAGGUAAAAGUUUGAUCCGUCCCCACUUCUUGCAUUUCUCCAUUGGAUUGUUUGACGCAUCGUUGUUAACAUUCUUGUCUUGAUCUCUUGCAACAUAUUCUGCCACCAUGUCUGACGUCGCCCUUCUUAAAAUGUGAAAUAGCCUAGUUCUGUCUGGUGUUGCUGACUAUCACAAAAAGUGGUGCGACAACACAUUGUUGAAUGAAAUGCCGGGAUGUUCUCGUGUCAUUCGAUUUAAUUAAAUUUCUUGAUUAUGUUAUAAAUGAAAUCAGAUAAUUAUUACUCCUGAGAAAGUAAAGAAGGGACCAACGAGAUCUAGGAGAUGUUUUCCUUUUUCAGUCAUAUUGUGGCAGCCAUAAGCGUUCAUGGGAUUGGAGAUAGGGAAAAUGUUCCUUCUUUUGGAUUUAUGUAGUCCCUCUUUUUGGUCCACCAAGCUAUAGAAAUGUUUUUUGGUUUCUGAAGAAUUUGAAAUUUCUUUAAACUCGCUGUCAUUCAUUGCAGCUUUCCUUGUUCGGCCCGAAGGCAUACAGUGAGCCGUACAUAAUGAGGUUAUGUUCGCUGUUCUUUGAAGAACCUACAUUCUGGAAAAAUUUAUUUCUGGAAAAAUUUAUUUUGGUGCAACCGGCUGAGAAGAUUAUAUUCUCCCGGGCUGUUAGAAUCGUGUCACGCCAUAGAGCAACCGGGAGAACCAUGUAUAAAGAAAUCGGAUUAAAUGUUUUCUUUCAGUUAUUCAGUUGUCCCAUUGUCCCAUGCAAUUCUCAAUUUUCGCGAAAGAGUUGUAGACAAAGGGAGUGUAGUAAUUGACUUGCACCAACCGUUGAUUAUAGCCUGUGUUAGUGUUUAUUAUUAUUUUCAACAAGUCAUACAAUUGCGAAAAUAUAAAGCUUUCAAGAAGCAGCAAAGGCGAAGAUUGACACCGCUAUACUCAUGGAUGUUCCCUUGGCGUAUCCAUAGAGAACAUUUUUCAAGCAUCGCCUGAUUGGAAGCUUACAUAAGCAUUGUUGAAGAUCCAGGCCUCAUUUAUAAAACAAGAUCUGUUACCCAUGAUUGGAUAAAAAUUCCAGUUAUAGAUUAACAUUAUAUUAAAAUCUGAUGAUGGUUUCUUAAAAACCAAGUCCAACAAUGAAAAAAUUGUCGAGAAGCGAAUGCUGCCUUCCAUUUAGUAAAUUAUUUUUACCUGCUGUGUGUCAUUUAUGUGUGUUGAUUUAAUCACAGAUUUGGGACUAGGAUUAAAUAUAUAGGUCUGAUCUGUUCUUACGAUGUACAAUUAGUUUUUUAAAUAAAAUUUAAUUUGGAAAACAUAUCUUUUCUAUUUAUCACCUUUGUGAGGGAUUUUCAAAUGUAUCCUUUUCUACUAACUUCAUUAAGUUAGCGCUUGUGACGACUUCACUAGGCUUUGGAGAAUGGCAUUUCAGAGUCAAGGUCAUGCUGCUAGUGAAUACAGUGGUCCAACCAGUGGUGAGUAUGGUCAGAAUCAAUCCUCAUCAAGCAGUGGAGACACGUUAAAUGGAGACAACUGAACUGAAGAAAGACAGCCAAGGCUUAAGUAGUGGACCAUAGGACUUCAUCAAGGAAUUAUUGUGAUGACCUUUCUUUUUUCAAUGUUUUUUCUUGGAUUGCGGAGGCAGUUCUGAGUUGUCUAGGCGCUGAAAGAGAAGUGGGACUUGGGUUGCGUAUGAUUCACGCUGCAUGUAGAUGUUUUCAAUUCUCGAUGCUUAUGGGGCUCUGAUUCUGGAUCACCACUUUUUAUCAUGAUUUUGUCCAGGAGGGACGUGUAUUGAUAUAUGCAUUAUUCAUGAAAAGGAUAUUUAAUGUCGCCAAA